UACGUAGGGUGCAAGCGUUGUCCGGAAUUAUUGGGCGUAAAGAGCGUGUAGGCGGCCCGAUUAGUCCGCUGUGAAAGUCCAGGGCUCAACCCUGGAAUGCCGGUGGAUACUGUCGGGCUAGAGUCCGGAAGGGGCGAGUGGAAUUCCUGGUGUAGCGGUGAAAAUGCGCAGAUAUCAGGAGGAACACCAAUGGCGAAGGCAGCUCGCUGGGACGUGACUGACGCUGAGACGCGAAAGCGUGGGGAGCAAACAGG
rnacentral:rRNA from 1 species